GACGAACGCUGGCGGCGUGCUUAACACAUGCAAGUCGAACGGAAAGGCCCUGCUUUUGUGGGGUGCUCGAGUGGCGAACGGGUGAGUAACACGUGAGUAACCUGCCCUUGACUUUGGGAUAACUUCAGGAAACUGGGGCUAAUACCGGAUAGGAGCUCCUGCUGCACGGUGGGGGUUGGAAAGUUUCGGCGGUUGGGGAUGGACUCGCGGCUUAUCAGCUUGUUGGUGGGGUAGUGGCUUACCAAGGCUUUGACGGGUAGCCGGCCUGAGAGGGUGACCGGCCGCAUUGGGACUGAGAUACGGCCCAGACUCCUACGGGAGGCAGCAGUGGGGAAUAUUGCACAAUGGGCGGAAGCCUGAUGCAGCAACGCCGCGUGCGGGAUGACGGCCUUCGGGUUGUAAACCGCUUUCGCCUGUGACGAAGCGUGAGUGACGGUAAUGGGUAAAGAAGCACCGGCUAACUACGUG
rnacentral:rRNA from 1 species